rnacentral:lncRNA from 1 species
CUUUGCUUCUCCUGGGUAUCCAGCUCUUGGGACAUCUCAGCCUCCAUAGUCACAUGAGCCAAUUCUGUUAUGUCAUAACUCUGAGCUUUCACUGCUAGCAAUCACAAGGUUGUGUAUUCUCUUUUCAUUCUUUAUCUGCGGUGAAUAUAGUAGACGAGAUGACCUCCAGUGGCCAGGUAUCUCAAACAUAUGCCUCUGCAGUGGUUGCAUUCUCCCGCGCUGUUUGUUCACACUGAGCCCAGCAUGGGGGAAGCUUCAGGAUGCAACAAUAAAUAAGGGAAGGGAGCCAUGUGCGAAAGAAAUAAACCUGAGUAGUGAGAGGAACAUGGGUCUUGGAUUAGGAUAUAGAACAAUGUUUAAACCCUGGUUGGCCAGGUAUAAGCUAUGUAAUAACCUUGGGCAAUUCACCUAAUUCCUCUGAGUCUUAAUUUCCUCAUUUCUUAUAUGUGGUAAUUGUGCCUAAUUGAGAAGAUGCACAAUAGAAAUUCAAUAGUAGCUCUAAUUACCAUGCAACAACCUUCCUGGUCCACUGUGUGGGUUUCUUUCAGGCUGUGAGUAAGUGGACAUGGAUUUCUGUAGCUAGUCUCUGCCAGAGGAUAUGAGUAUUUCAAGAAGCAGGAAGGGCUGGAGGUGUGUGAAGGCUCCCCCGCUCCUGCACUUCAUUUGUACACUCUCAUCAUCACUGGAGGAGUCUCCUGGCUGCAGUUGAGCCUUCGAUGAGAUGAUUUGCAUCACUCACAUUCCAAGCUGGGUGGGGGAAGCCCAGACAUUCUCGCUCUGCCCCUCAACCAGCUUGGUGCCAGAUUUCCUCUCGCUUCACCCCCCC